CAUGCUUAACACAUGCAAGUCGAACGGCAGCAUGUUCAGGAGACUUCGGUUGAAUGAAUGAUGGCGAGUGGCGGACGGGUGAGUAAUGCGUAGGGAUCUACCUUAAAGUGGGGGACAACCCGGGGAAACUCGGGCUAAUACCGCAUAAGCUCUAAGGAGGAAAGUGUGCGACUAGCGAUAGGCACACGCUUUAAGAAGAACCUGCGUCCGAUUAGCUAGUUGGUAGGGUAAAGGCCUACCAAGGCGACGAUCGGUAGCUGGUCUGAGAGGACGAUCAGCCACACUGGGACUGAGACACGGCCCAGACUCCUACGGGAGGCAGCAGUGGGGAAUAUUGGACAAUGGGGAGCAACCCUGAUCCAGCAAUGCCGCGUGUGUGAAGAAGGCCUGCGGGUUGUAAAGCACUUUCAGUGGGGAGGAAGGUGGUUUGUUUAAUAGACGAGCCAAUUGACGUUACCCACAGAAGAAGCACCGGCUAACUCUGUGCCAGCCGCCGCGGUAA
rnacentral:rRNA from 1 species